rnacentral:rRNA from 1 species
GGCGAGUGAAGCGGCAAAAGCUCAAAUUUGAAAUCUAGCACUUUCAGUGUUCGAGUUGUAAUUUGAAGAAGGUAACUUUGGUUUUGGCUCUUGUCUAUGUUCCUUGGAACAGGACGUCACAGAGGGUGAGAAUCCCGUGCGAUGAGAUGCCCAAUUCCAUGUAAAGUGCUUUCGAAGAGUCGAGUUGUUUGGGAAUGCAGCUCUAAGUGGGUGGUAAAUUCCAUCUAAAGCUAAAUAUUGGCGAGAGACCGAUAGCGAACAAGUACAGUGAUGGAAAGAUGAAAAGAACUUUGAAAAGAGAGUGAAAAAGUACGUGAAAUUGUUGAAAGGGAAGGGCUUGAGAUCAGACUUGGUAUUUUGCGUUCCCUUCCUUUUUGGUUGGGUUCCUCGCAGUUUACUGGGCCAGCAUCGGUUUGGAUGGUAGGAUAAUGACAUUGGAAUGUAGCUUUACUUCGGUGAAGUGUUAUAGACUUUGUUGAUACUGCCUAUCUAGACCGAGGACUGCGUCUUUGACUAGGA